UUGAUGCUGUGUAACGUCCAGAUUCUGGUUUCACGAAGUCUUGCAGCUUUGGCCACUGUUUUCGUGGGACACUUCUAGCAUCUGCUAAGACUAGAAGGUAUCUGACUUUUGAGGACAGAAAUCUUCAGUGAUCCUGCCUACGCUUCCAGGCUCCUCACAAGAUAAGAAUUCCCUAAGCUACUAUGCAAUGAACAGGAUUCUUCAAGUUGCUCAGAUCCAGCAGAGCCCCUAAGAACCUGGCAUCUCACCCUAAAAUCCAUCUGCUUAAUAAGGCCCAUUUCCUGACGACUGUGCUUUCUAAGUUAACUGAGGAGCAAUGGACAUAAGGCAUCACACACAGCUCCAGCCUCUUCAGGAGGAGUUAGCACCACAAACUUGAAUCUCUCACCCGGAUGCCGGCCACACCCUCCUCACCUGGUAUCUGUCUGAGUGGUGCAGGUCCUCCGUGGCAGAAGAGUGUGGGGAAGCGGUUGGAGAGUCUCCUUCCCUCUUGAUGGAAGCAGACAACAGGAGGGACUGGAAGAAGAAAAGAGCACAUGGCCCCAGACCAGCUUGCACAGUCCUGAGCCGGAAGCACACAAUUCUCUCGGAGUCCUCCCAAGCCUGGAAAACCAUGCCAAAUCGCCAGUGACAGCCCAAAGAAAGCAAUUUGGGGAAGAUGGAGCGGUCAUUUAUCCUUCAUCUCUGACUGAACCUUAGGAUGUGACCCGCAUGCGGUGGCCACGCUGUUCAUCCUCCAGCAAGGACCCUAGGAAGUGAGGGGGUCUGGCUCCCCAGCUGCUGAUGUGCCAGGGUGUCCUGAUGCACCCAUGGCCCAGGAGCUGGAGGAGAGAAGCGGCUGCAGAGGGCCUGGGGUGGGAUUGGCUCCAAAUGGGACUUCUUCACUGACCUAAGCCCCAUGGGAGGCCUGCCAGAAAGAUGUCAGGCAAUGCUAUUCUCCAAUCCCAAGGAAGAUGUUGAGGAAAAGAGUGCCACAGUGUGUGCCCUCCCCCCCACAGUAACAAAGCUUUCCUCUGUCUUUCUCUGUCUCUCUCUAGGUUAGAAGCCCUGAGAGGCCCCAGCAUUACACCUGGGGCAAGCGGAAUAAAAAAAGGUCACUGGCGCUUUUU